rnacentral:lncRNA from 1 species
ACCUCAGCCCUGUCACCCUGCGCGUGUCUCUGCCAUGCUUCCUUGGAUCCCUAUCUACCCCGUUUUGGGUGACAGGACGAGUUGGGCCAGUUACCAGGAUCUUGUCGCCUGGUUCUGAUGGUGUCUUGGUUCCCGGCUGGGGUUUUGUGUUUACCACGAGCGUUGCCUGCUGUCGGGGAGCUGCGUGUGUUUCACAACAAACAGGGAGCCAGGGAGACCACCCUGCGGGGCUGCCCCUUCCCUCAGCGCUUUCUGCUUGGGUCGCUGGCGUCUUGCAGUGCCUUCGUUCGUCUGUGGUGUGAGGUGCUGGUCCAGGCUUACGCGCUAACAGUGAAUUAGAAGGAGAAAACGCUCUGCGAGUGCAGCGGAAGGGAGGACCCUGUGGCUGGAGAAAUCCCGCCGCGAACACCCAGCGACCAGGUCUACAGCAGCACCAGGUCUGUGCUUCCCCCUGGUGGUCACAGAUUUUACUACACGCGGCCCACAAGUAAAAUGAGUUUCUCUUCAGUGGCCCGGUUAUCUUCUGUCGUGUAGGAGGAAGUCCAGAGCCACGGAAAUUCGGUAAGGAUCGGAUAAGGGCAAUAAAAUCGCAGCUCUAAAUCUUUUCAUGGAGUUGAAGACAGACGUUUGACUGUGGGAGCCAUCUCAUCUUUAUAACCUGGUAAACAAUGCCAGAAUAAAAACAACAAAUUCAAUGUAUUUAAGUCGGUUUCGACAGUGAGGAAUUAAAAUUAAAUUUAUUUAAACUAUUUUGACUUUUACCCAAGUUUUUCUUACAGUUCCAUCUCAUUUUUCCCUCCUUACAUAGUUUGGGG